rnacentral:lncRNA from 1 species
UGUGCCCGCACUGCUUCCCCCCGCCCCGCCUCCUUUCCCAGCCCCACUUCACCCAUACCAAAGAGGAGCAGGACUUGCUGUUGGAAGACAGGAUUUGAGGUCCACUCCCAGUUUCAUGGCCUGCUUUUUUUGUCCCAUUAUAAUCAUUUAGUCCACAAAUGUCCACUGAGCACCUUCUGUGUGCCACUCUGAGUGUUCAGGCCUGUUAGUUGUGCCGGGAAGGGAGCAUCACCCAGGAGCCUUCCAAAGGCACUGAAACUGGUCAUCUCCCUGGAGGAGUGGAGACCCUGAGGUAUGGGGGGGGGGGGGCCCUCUGAGGCAUGCCCAGCGGAGAUGACUUCCUUUUUCUUCUGGUUGAGUCCAGGUUCUCUUCAUCCUUUGAACAUCUGGGGACAUGAAUGAAUUCCCCUGGUCACUCUGUCACUCAUUUGUCAGUUCACUCAGAGCUCAUUGCCUUAUUAAUCCAUUUGUUCCCUCCUUUAUUUAGCUCAUGCAUUUUUUCCUAAGCAAGAGGGGGAGAUUUAUUAGGAGAACACAGGGAACCCCAGAACAAACAGCGAAUAGGCUAACUCCUCUUCCCAAGUGACCAGAGCCAGCGGCUGGUAAGGCAUGAGGAACCAAGCCUGCUCUGUUCUUUCCCUGACCCUGGGGCCACCUAGCCACUCCUCUCUGCUUCCCUUUGCACAUCACUCAAUCCUCCUAUCUUUUUAAUCUGUUGGUUUCUCCCCGUUUCCACUGCCAUGACCCUAGUAAAGGAUUGUCCUUUUUUUGGCCUGGAGAAUUGAAAUGGCCUCCCAAUCUUUCUCCCCAAAUCCACUCUUGCCCAUUUCCAAUGGGUUGUUCUCCUUGCUGCAGCCAGAGUGACUUGCUACCAAUAGAGAAUGUAUUCUGUGGCUUUCCCUGGCUCCUAGGAUAAUCAUCAGAAUCAUAAGCGUGGUGUGGAACUGGAUGAUGGCUCGCCACCCUCAGUGCCCUUGUUGUGGUUCCUCCCAGCUGGAGGAUUAGGCGGCCCUGCUCCUUGUUGCUCUCGGGCACGGCAAGGGGGCUGAGGAACGGCAAAGAGCCGGUGUGCGCUUUGUCACUUCUUCUCCUUCUCCUGGGGCAAUGGCGAUAUUGCAGACAGACUGUCCCACAGCCUGAGUCCAGAGGGAAGGCGACAAGCAGUAGAACCAUGUGGACACGUAGCGCGAGAGAUAGACAGACCCGACUGUGGGCCCCUGAGAUCUGGGGACUCAUUUGUUCUCAGCAUAAUCCAGCCUCCCCUCACUGGUACCCAUGGCCCACAAGCUCUCCCUCACUGCCCUGUCUCUCCGCUGGAGGCUUUCAGUACUUACAGGAGCCGCUCCCUCCCACCUUGGAACGUGGUCUGUUACUCUCUCUCUUCGGAAAGUUGCUUAUGCCUAUUUCUGCCUGGUUUAUAUUUACUCACCAGUGAGAUCUCGGCUUAAACGUGAACUACUCAGGAAAGGACUGCCUGAUCUGUGUUCAGAGUACCUUCAAUUCCCCUUCUUUGUCACUAGAUCUCUUUCACUGAACUCUAAGUUCUGUGAAGACAGAGCUCAGGCAUUUGGCUCAUGCUUUUUUGAGGCUCUGCUCCAUCCUCACUAUGUGCCAGGGCCUGUGCUGAGGGGCUGGAGGGGACGGGGGUGAAUCAGCCAUAAGCCCGGCUCCCACAAACCCACCCCCUGGUAGGGGAGACAGACAUGCAAGCAGCAGCAUUCGAACCCACUGUGAUCAUUCCAGCCAGGAUAAAAGAGCAUAAUAAGAGUAUAUGAAAGAGGCUGGAAGGAAGGCAAGGGAGACUGCCUGGAGGAGGAGGCAUCAGAGCGGGUUUUGAGGAGGCAUUGGAGUUGUCCAGGUGGGGAACUUGCUGGGGGAGUGUGGUGGGAGAUGGUAGAGGUAGAAGCAGUGUGCCCAAAGUUUCCAAGGCUCAAAAGACGAUGAGUUUGGACCAGAAGUGAACAUCUGGCAUCUGUAUUCCUGGGAACACAAGCAUUCUUGUUUCUGGGCCUUUGCAAGUGAAAAGUGGCGCGUGGUGUUUGCUCCUCAGAGUCUAUGGACAGUGAUGAUCAUAGCAGGUUCCAGGCCCUUCCACACAGUGGGCAUCCAUGGCAGACUCCGAUCAGGGGUCCCCCGGGCCACAUGUGGGUGCGUGCUGGCGCUUUGUUCCAGGACGAAGCAGUCAGAGACGCCUUUGUCUCCACUCCGCUCCUUGGAGACGGCAAGAUGCCUUAAGUUCCUCUCCUUGUCUUCUAAGAACCCACCACAGUUCCUUCUAGCGAACCAAGACUUCCUGCACACGCAGCCCCAGCAGUCAUUUAAAAUUUGCAUAAGAUGAAUAAAACGGAAGAGAGAUGAAUCGCCAGAAACACCACGUCACUGGAUAUAAUGUCCCUCGAUACAAUCUCGUUACUGAAAUAAUCUGCAGGAGCAGGAUGCUCAGGGACUUGGGACUGUGGUCGCUCAGCAGUCCCUGGCCUGGGGGAGGGAAGGUGUGUCCACGCAGGACGGGGCGUUUCAGGGCCCUGAUGGAAUGUGGCAGAAAAGCUUUCCCGGCCUCCCAGGAGGUGGGCAGGUGGACAGUGAUGCUAGAAAGUCUCUCCCCUUUGUGGCCCUGACUUUCUCGUUGUCACCAUGGGAGUGAAGUGUGUCCCUCACUGCGGACUUCACUGGCUGUGACACUGGUGCAACAGUAAGAGAGUGUUUCAAAAAGUCCACUGACUCCAAGGAAUCUUUGUUGUUCCUGAUGGCAUUAUUAUUUUCAUGCCAAUCAUUAGGUGGUCUCUGAGGGGCUCCCCAAAGUGGGGGACAGACACCCACAGAACCUGGCCCCAGACAUACGUUCUCCGUGAGAAAGCUGAACUCUGGUGUGGCUGUCUGCAGGAGGGCACGCUGACCCCCGCUGGGGAGGAAGGAGCUGGGCAGUGCGGACAAGGGGGACUCCUGCCAGCUGAGGCCCUGAGUGGAGGGAAGAUGGGGGCCUCGAAAGGCCUGGAGGCCAGGGGCCGGCCCGGUGGCGCAGCGGUUAAGUUCGCACGUUCCGCUUCUCGGCGGCCCGGGGUUCGCUGGUUCGGAUCCCGGGUGCGGACAUGGCACUGCUUGGCAGCCAUGCUGUGGUAGGCGUCCCACGUAUAAACUAGAGGAAGAUGGGCACGGAUGUUAGCUCAGAGCCAGGCUUCCUCAGCAAAAAGAGGAGGACUGGCAGUAGUUAGCUGAGGGCUAAUCUUCCUCCAAAAAAAAAAAAAAAAGAAAGGCCUGGAGGCCUGAGGAGGCAAGGUGGUGGGAGGAAUGCUGUCCUUCUGCAGGGGAGGCUGGUUGAUAAGGCACAGUGGGCACUCCCAGUGCCCUCUGGGGUAGAUGGUGACAUGAGCUCCCGCCUGGCCCUCUGUGCCAGUCGAGCUGUUGUCAAGUCAGCGAAGCCCACCGGCAUGGGGUAGACGUGAGCCUGCCCAGCAGGUGGGAGCACGGAGGCCUGGAGGGAUGGUGGGUGGGCAGCAGGGGGCUCCAGGAGACUGGAAGCCAUGGGCGUGGGCGCUGUCAAAGCCGAGGUUCCACCUGCCAAGGUCUGGCCAGGGCCGGCUCCAGGGCCAGCGGGCUGCUCCCUGAGAGGGACUGCCUUUCAGAGUACUGGUACCUACUGGCCUGGCUUCAAAAUUCCAAGCCCAGAGCUGGAUGGACUCUCCAGGUCAGCAAGUAGGUAUCACCGUGUGUGCCAUCUCUCUUAUCCACCAUCCCUGGCAGCCUGCGGUGCCAAGCUGAGAAGGAAUCCAAAGCUGUAUAAGUGCUCAGCAUGACAGAGUGCUGCAAUCCAUUAGUAAUGUCUGCAGUGGGUAAGGAAAGGGAGAUCUAUGCUAUACAUGCCAGCCAUUUGUCAUUCCUGGUAAAUCCCCUUAUUUUGCAUAUGGAGAAACUGAUGCCCAGGGGAGGGAAUGCCCUCAUCCAGUUUCCAGUCCUUCUGCCUCGUAGUCUGACCUCUCCACAGACUUCUGGGUACCCAUCGUGACACAAAGUGAAAACAGUGAGCUGUGUGACAGGGACAUCAUACUGGAUCUGUCUGGAUCCACACUGUGUUCCUCCUCUUUUUUCUCCUUUGCUCGUAUCUUUUAAAAAUUUAAUGUGUUUUAUACAUUAUAAAAGAUAAAAAAUUAUGAGCAUCUGUGAACACACCACUCACUCCAGAACUGGAACCUUCUCAAUAAUUUGCAUCUGUGUGUUUGCAUCUUGUCGUACCUUGGAAGUCACCACUGUCCUGAAUGUUGUGUGUGUUUGUCAUUCUCUUGCUCAUAAGUCUACUGCAUAUGUCCAAGCAGUAUAUUGUUUUGUUUGUUCUUGAGCUUUGUAAAAUGGCAUACUAUGUAGAGACUUCUAAGGUUUGCAUUUUUUACUCAACAUUUUACUGUUUCUAAGCUUCAUCCAUGCUGUCUUGUGUAGCUGUAGUUUAUUUUCAACGGUGUGAAAAUAAAUUGUGACUAUUCCACAGCUUAUUUUUGCAUUCUCCUAUCCAUGAGUAUUUGGGUCAUUUCCAUUUUAUUUUUUUCUGUUAUUAACAAUGCUGCUAGGAGAUCUUGUACAUAUCUUCUGUAAUGCGUAGGGCUGGGCUUGCAGGGUUAGAAGGUGUGUAAAUGGUCAGCCUAACAAGAAAAUGCCCGUGUGAUUUCCUAAGUGGUGACCAGUUGACGCUCUCAUCAACACUGCUUAUGUGUCCCAGGUGGUCUAUACCCACUCAAGCCCUUGGUGCUGUCAGAUGUCUUACUUUUGACCAGUCUAGAGGGCAUCCGAUCACAGCUCACUGAGAUCUUAGUGUGCACAUCCGUGUACACUAGUGAAGGUGAGCAUCUCUUCCCACGUUCUCUGUGUGCCUGUGAUCUCCUCUGAGAAAUGCCUGCUGCAGAUCUUCUGCUCAUUGUAGGAGUUCUUUAUGUAUCUGGGUACUAAUCCUUUGCUGGUUGUGCAUAUUCCAAAUGUCUUCUUGCCAUUCGUGGUUUGUCUUUUCACUCGUCUUUUGGUAAAAAGUAAUUUUUCAUUUUACUGCAGUCAUAUCUACCAAUUUUUUUAUGCUUAGUGAGCUUUUCAUUUCUUGUUUAAGAAAUUGUUCCCAACCCCAAGUUUGGAAAGAUAGUUCCCCAUAGAAAAUUAUUCUUAAGUUUUAAAAUUUUCCCUUUCAAUGGAGGUUUUUAAUGUGUCUGGAAUUGGUUUGGGGGUGUGGUGUGAGGUGGUCUUCACUAAGUCCCAAGGGUGGGCCUCUGCAGGGACCCAUGUGGGUCAGGCCAGGCUUGCUAGUGCAGCAGCUGGGCGUCAGCGCCCCCACCCAGGGCUGGGCCAGGCCGUCUCCCCUUGGGAGGGAGCUUGAAGCCUUUGCGGUUUGUAGCUGUGUGUCAUAUCUAGAAACCCAGGCAUCCCAGACUCAUAAAUUACCUUGAACUAGUUUGCUAGCCCGUGUGCCUUGGUGCAGAGGCUUUUCAAAGGCAGCCGGUUAUGUAACUGGCUGAGUGAGGCAUGGCUCAGUCCCCUCAGAGAGGCAGGGCAGAGCCGGCCUGGCCAGGAUGCCGGCCACCCAGGACCACAGGGACCACGCAGGGAGCCGCUCGGGUCUGUGUGGUUCACUGGCAUUUCCAUGGAAACGCUCUCUCAGCAAGGAGCAAGAGUUGACAAGUCAGUGAAGCUGGAUGCUCACUCCCAGAGGCAUAACUAAGAUAUAACCUUGACUUUUCUUUUUCUGUUUGCUCUGUUGAAAUUAUGUGCUGGGAAGUCCCGUUUUGAGAUUCGCAUGGGUGGGCAAGGAGUGACGUUUUGCCAAGUUUGUGGAAGGAACCAUCCUCCGCACGACUUUUCCCAGACCUUGUUCAUCUGUGUAGGCUCCUACACGCUGACAUUCUCAGUGACACAACAAGUAUUGAUUUUUUUCCACUUCUUCUCUAAAUUCUUCUCUUCCUUCCGUCAGAUAUUGAUAUAUGAACAAGAAUGGGUACAUACGCCCAAGGACAUCGUUGAAAGGUGUAUACUUGAAAGGAAUAAGGAGAAAGGAAGGAGAGCGAGGAGAAGGCAAGUGAGAGAGCGAAGAAGCAGAGGAGGAUGGGAAGGAUGGGGAAGGCAAGUGGAGAAAAAAGUCAGAGAGUAGAAAGGCCGAGGAAGGAGAGGGAGGAAGAAGAGGGGAUGGUUGAGCCUCUGAUCCUUUCGUCUUAGCAAAUACGCGUCUGCUUCAUAGACGUGCUCCUCGCUCCAUCAGUGAGAGAAUCCCCAAAGUGCCUUUGGGCCAAGCUGCUUAAUUAAACGUUUAUAGAUAUAGAGAACCAGCCAAAUGUCUCCUUGUAAUAUUUAAUUCAUUUAGUGACAUGUACAUACUUAAAGCCACCUUUAAAAUGACAUACAAAUUUGGAAAUACUGUUUGUUUUCACUCUCACAUUUCAUUUAAUCAAGUCUUCAUUUUUGGUCCCAUAUCUUUGUCAUCAAUAGAGGUACUUUUGGAGUCACCCAACACUGUUUUCAGAAAGGACUUAGACAUUAAAGUUUACAGCUCAGGAAUAAUGACUGCAUUAUUUUUCCUGGCCUCUUUUUCCUUUUUUUUAACUGAUUCUCUUGGCUGCCCUCUCUAAGCAGCCAAAAUCCGCAUCAACUGAGCUAGUUUAUGGCUCAUCUUCUCCAAGCAACACUUUGUUUUUCAAUAUAAAGUAACCGAGAGAGCCCCAUAAAUGAGAAAGUUUGUGAGGACUGGAUUUGAAGGUGAUUCGCCUUUAUCUUUCUUUGAAGUAAAAUUCAGGCAACUAUGAUAGAGUUUUUCUAGAAGAGAGAAUUUUCUGGCUCAAGGCUAGGUUAGUUUUAGCUUAAGAUGUUCCAGAGAUUCAUUGAGCCCGCUGCUGUCACGUCAGGCUGGGACAAAAUCCCACCAAAUUAUACAUAGAGAAUACCUCCCAGGAGAUAUUAGCUUCCAGUAGGUUCUGGACUGUUCUAGCUAGCUCAGCCUCUCCAGGAACGGUACCCUGAGAGAAUGCCUGCCUCAUCUGUCCACGGUGGUGUUUCUCAGCUGGGACUAUCGUGCCUCCCAGAGGUCACUUGGCCAUGCCUGGAGCUGUUUUGGGUGGUUACGACUUGGGGUGUAUUAGAGUUCUUCAGAGAAACAGAAUCAACAGGAUCUGUGUGUAUAUAUAGAGAGAGAGGUUGAUUUUAAAGAGUUGGCUCAUGUGAUUAUGGGGGCUGGCAACUCCAAAAUCUGCAGUUCAAGUCAAAAGGCUGAUGUGGCAGGUCAAGUCCGAAGGCCGUCUGUGGGCAGAAUUCUCUUCUGCUUGGAGGAUGUCAGUCUUUUGUUCUAUUCAGGCUUUCAAAUGACUGGAUGAGGCCCAUCCACAUUCUAGGGGGCGUUCUGCUUUACUCACAGUCAGUCAAUUUAAAGGUUAAUCUCAUCUAAAACCACCCCCACGGCAACAUCCAGAAUAGCGUUUGACAAGAUAGCUGGGCACUGUGCCCCAGACAGGUUGACACAAAAUUAACCAUUGUGGGGGUGGGAGUUACUGGCAUCUAGUGGGUAGAGGCUGGGGACGCUGCUACAGUCCCACAAUGCACAGGACAGCCCCCAUGACAAAGAAUUACCCAGUCCCAAAUGUCAGGAGUCCCGAGGCUGAGAAACGCUGGUCCACAGGCUCCAGUCACAGACCUGGUAAUGUGACUCUAACAUCAUUGACUGGAGGUGACGGGACUCUUCCAGCUUGUGGGGAGCCAUUAGAUUCACCCAGAAAGAAAGUGAUCGGGGAAAACAUCUUAAUGAAGAUCAUUCUUCCUUCUCUUUCCACUUCAACUUGCUGGGAAAGAAUAGUAUUCCACUGAGACCUAUUUAUGACAAGACUGCUGGUUUGGGACUUCUGAGCAGAGAUAAAAUUAAUUUCUUCAUGCUGAUGCUUCAGUCAGUCUUUCAGCUACAGAAAUGUUCUGGGGAAAAGGAAAGAAAAGAGGGUUCCUGGCAGCUCCUCUGAGCUGGGUAAAGUGUGAACUCAGAUGUUCCUGGAGUAAAACCAGCAUUUGAGUGUAACUUUCACUGAGCAGUGCCGCCACCAAACAGGACAAGACACCCCAACUGCCAAUGAAUUUGCUGAAAACCACAGAGCAAUGGCUAUGCUCAUUUGUUCAUUCAUUCAUUGGUUCACUCAACAAAUAACUUGUGGAGGGCCCAGAAUGUGCUAGGCUCUGAGCCAAUAAGGCAGCCUGGUCUCUGUUCUCAAGUUUUGCAGCCUAAUGGAGAAGACAGACAAUGAAACACAAGUAGAAAUCCGUUAUCAGGGAGAAGAGGUUGUCAUGCGCGGAUAUACAACUUCAUUUAGAGACGACUUUUGCUGUACGCCAGUGGGAAAGAGCCCCGGGUUAGGAGCCAGAACUAGAUUCAAGUCCUAGCUCUUGGACUUCCUGGCUGGUCAAGUGAGUUAUCCUCUUGGAUGUCUUGUAAAAUUGGAACAAAAACCCCUGCCAUCUCACCUGUCACGUGGACUUGUUGUGAGAAGCAAACGCAAUAAUGUAGGAAAGUGCUUUGUCAGUCGUAAAGUACCAAACUCGUGUUGCUCAACCCUGGCUGUUAGAAUCACCUGGUGGUAGCUUUUAAAAAAACUGGUGCCAGGGGCGAGCCCCGUGGCUGGGUGGUUAAGUUCGUGUGCUCUGCUUUGGCAGCCCAGGGUUUUGUGGGUUCAGAUCCUGGGUGCGGACAUGGCACUGCUCAUCAAGCCAUGCUGAGGCGGCGUCGCACAUAGCACAACCAGAGGCACUCACAACUAGAAUCUGCAAAUCUACAGCUAUGUACUGGGGGGCUUUGGGGAGAAGAAGGAAAAAUUGAAAAAACAAAUACUGAUGCCUGAAACCCCAGCUCAGACAAGGUGGUCAGAAUCCCUCAGCAGAAGGGUCCAAGCACGGGCAUUUUUUAAAAGCUCGCAAGGAGAAACUAAAGCACGGCCAUCCUAUACAAGCAUCGUCAAUUUAUAUAGUGUUACUAUCUCAAAGUAAUCACAGCGCAAACUCGUAAUUUAGGGAUCUCUGUGCCCCAAGGUUUGUUCAAAUUUGAUGUGAAAAGUAGAUCUGGGCCACUCUGCUUUUCAGGGUCUUGCUUUAAUGCUGUAAGCAGCAGAGAAACCUGCCACAGCUCAGAAAUGAGACUCACCCAGUGACCCCAUGGGCCAGGAGACUUGGGGGUGGGGGUGGGGACAGCUCUCACCACAGGCAGUGAAAGAAAGUCCUCCACCAGGGGGAGUGUGAUCUCUUGAUGGCAGCAAACAUGAGUCUCAAACAACACACAUCGGAUUUUCUGCUCUGUGACAGCACUGUUUUAGACAUUAGCAAUGCUAUAACAAUCUGAAGAGGCAGCAAUCACUACUUCCAUGGGCAUCAUGUUCUAGCAGGAGGAAGAAGACAAAAAAAUGUGAGUAAAAUACAUUAAAUGUUAGAUGGUGAUAAGCACUACGGAGAAAAAGAAAAUACAGAAGGGGCACGAGUCUCUGGUCCUGUGAAAGAAUGAGCCACCUUGGUAUCCAGAGGAACAGUGUUUUAAGCAGAGGAAACAGCAAUGCAAAUGUCCUGAGGGAGAGGCGUGCCUGGCUUGUUUGAGGAACAGCAAGGAGGUCAGUAUCACUGGUGAGGGUGAGCAGAGUAGGAAAUGAGAUCAGAGAGUUAUCUGCAGGCCUGACUACAGUGCCUUGCAGGAUAAUGUGAAGACUUUUAUUUUUACUCUGCAUGAGAAAGAUUUUGAGCAUAGGAGUGGUACGAUAUGACUUGCGUCUUUACAGGAUCACUCUCUCUGCCAUGUGGACAAUGAACUCAAGGGGACAAAUGCGGAGGCAGGAAGACCAGUUAGGAGUCUGUUGUGGUCAUCUGAGGGGAAAGGCUGCUGGUUUGGACGGGGGAGGGAGCAGUGGAAGUCAUGAGAAGUGGUCAGGGAUGUGGGGAGAAGCAGCAGAGCCCAGGUGAGGAGCCAGCAUCGCAAGUAAUGACACAAGGACAAGUUAACCAAAACAUGCCAGCAAAUCCAGGGAUAGUGUGUAAGAAACUCAGAGAAUCCACCAAGAUCAAUGCCUCCAGAGGGCCAGAAAUGGUCUUCCCUGCAGCCCUCCAUCUCUCUGUGCGCCUGGUAUUUGAAAUGCCCCAGGCACCCUCACAGUUGAAAAUGAUUUCCGACGGGAGAGAGACCUUCACCGUUAUUGAAGCCUUGUGCAAAUCCAAAUUCAAACACUACCAAUCACUGCCCCCUGCUGGACGUUUCUGAAAGGGAGACGUAAAACAUGAUUCAGCAGACCCUUGCUGGAGAACCACCAUGAAUCGAAUCGGUGAGAUUGGGACUUGGCAAGACUGGAAGCGUGCAGUGGAAAGAAACGGGGCAGAGCUCAUGGACCUCUUGAACUCUGUCCAAGGACCCCUUGAAGACUUGAAGGCUGUGGGUUAAUAAUCCCUGGUUCGAUGCUUCUUUAAGCAGUCUCUCACACAUUUUGUGAACUGAAGGAAGUGAAACCUCACUCAAGGAGCCAGGCUCGAUAAAGAAGGGCUGAGUCCAUCACAGGAAUCUCAGCUGCUGGUGGGACUUUUGUAACUUCACUGGGAACACGGGGAACAGAAGAUUUUAAGUGGGAAAUUCACAUCAUUUUAAUUUUCUAAAAAGGGGGAAAAAAUCUGCAAACCACAGACUGGGGAGCUGAGUCUCAGUUCCAGAGCAGAGUUGCCAGCCUGGAGAAGCUGUAAGAGACCCUGAUGCCAGUAGGUGGAGCGAGCGAGCGGUCACCAAGGACAAACGGCAGCGCGGUCACUUCAUUUUCUUUUGCUUGGAGCACGCGACUGGACUGGCCUUACCAAGACCACGUGUGACUCCUCCGAAAGAUGUUUGAGGGUCUCACUAAUGGUAUAUUUUCUGACAAAUGGAGAGAUGUGGGCUAAGCCCAAAUUAGUUGCAUUCAGAACAUUUAAAAAAUAGAUAAUUGGCCAUUCUCAUAUCUUAUCAAAUUGUACGACACACUAUCUUGUCCUUCUCCCUAUGACCAACCAGUGUCUAGAUUCACACUGGCAUAUGAACUUGUUUUCAUCAAAUGGGUUAAUAAGAAUCGGAGGGUUGGUUUGAGCCACGUUAGGCUGCACUGAAUGAAGAGGUAUAAUGUCUAGAGGAGGAGAGAUGAUGGGUUUACUCUCCUCUGGGCUAGGUAGACCACGUGGAAAGUUGUACUCAGUUUGGAAUACCACAUUUUUUAAGUGAAUACAGACAAAUUGGAACACUAUAAGCAGUGUGACAAGGAUGCUGAGGACUUGCGAUAUGUAUAUGCAAUGCAUACAAAAGACCUGGGGAUGCUCAAACAUGACGAGGAGCAGGGGUCUUGGGGGUGAGGGGAUAAGUCGGCUGCUCACAUCUGCUCGAGAGGCUGACAGGUAGAAGACUGUACAGGCGGAACUGGACGUGCAGUCGCUGCUCUUGGACCAAUCAGCGAAAGGGGAAGAACUGGAAUGAAGCUCAACCAACGGAGGAACGUUCAAACAGCUGCAGAUGUUCAAAGAUGAAGAGAUGUCAGUAGGAGGGAGUGAGUUCUCCUUCACCAGAUGUGUUCAAGUCAUUGAUAGACUCUAGCAACACUUUUCAUGGAUUUGGAGAAGAAGGCUCAAGUAUAAGCUGAGUGGUAGAUGAGGUCAGGGUUCACCAUAUGCUAGUCUAGGGAUGGGUGACAGUCCAUUAUAAAAUUUUUACUGAGUCCCUAGAAAGAUACAGGCAACAUGGCUCAUAAAUCUUAACUUAUUCCACUUAAAAGACUAUAAUUUAUUCUGAUAUUUUUUACUUCUUACUUUGUAAGGGUGAAAUGCCAUUUCCUUAAUGAAAUAAUAGCAAUGAUAGGAAUAGGUUUUAAAAUAUACCUUACCUGGCAAAAUAAAAAGUUUGGCAACCC